rnacentral:misc_RNA from 1 species
GCAAGUAGUAUCAAAUGGUGAACUGUCACUUUUAGCCCGCAAGGCUGCUUCAGUUGGACAACGUACUGCAAGGAACCUUAUGGUUUCAGAAAGUGUGGAAGGGUAUGCUCAGUUAUUGGAGAACAUACUCCGAUUUCCAUCCGAAGUUGCAUACCCCAAGGCUGUCACUGAAAUUCCUGAAAAACCAAAAGCAGAAUGGCAAUGGCAACUUUUUGAAGCAAUCGAGACAAAAUAUUCUCAGAACAACCGUUUGAAGACCUCAAAAUAUUUGAAUGAGUUUGAAAGGCAAUGGAAUCCGACCCAAAAAGAGGAUUCUACAUCUGUGAUGGAAAAGAAUGAGGAGUUUUUGUACAGCAUUUGGGAGGAUCACAGAAGUACUGAGAUAGCGAAUGUGAGAAAGCGAAGAGAAGACGAGGAGUUGAAGGGCAGAACUGAUCAACCUCGGGGAACAUGGGAGGAAGUAUAUAGAAGUGCCAAAAGAGCUGAUCGGUCUAGGAACGAUUUGCACGAAAGGGAUGAAGGGGAACUUGAAAGAACUGGUCAACCAUUGUGCAUUUAUGAGCCUUAUUUUGGAGAAGGGACCUGGCCCUUCUUGCAUAGUACAUCACUUUAUCGUGGCCUUGGACUUUCCAGCAAAGGGCGACGACCCGGUCAUGAUGAUAUUGAUGCUCCUUCUCGGCUUUCACUUCUUAAUAACCCUUACUAUAGAGACGUUCUUGGUGAAUAUGGAGCUUUUUUCGCUGUUGCUAACAGGAUUGAUAGGAUACACAAAAAUACCUGGAUAGGGUUUCAAUCUUGGAGAGCUACAGCAAGACAGCAAUCAUUGUCCAAGGCUGCUGAAAGGUCACUACUUGAUGCUAUUGAAGCGCGAAGGCAUGGUGACACACUCUAUUUCUGGGCUCGUAUGGAUGUGGAUCCAAGGAACCCACUGAAACAAGAUUUCU